AUGCGAACCGGCGAAACCCUGGGCCGCCGAAGGGGUGCGCGAACUUCACCCCCGGCCCCGGGCCGGGCCUCAAGCGCACCUGUGACUGAGCGCAGCCCCGCCGCUCCCGCGCAGACGCCCCGCAGGCCGACGGAAACCGCCCCGCGGCGCCUCGGGUCCCGCACAAGCCCGGGGAGCGCCGGGCCCGCCGGCGGGGGCAGCCGAGGACCCGCCGGAGGACCCGAGGAGGCUCUGUGCAGCUCUGCGGACCGGCCUCUCGAGGCCUCUGGGCUGUUGGCGGGGAGUCUGGGGGUGGCGGCUGGACACCCUGCGACAGCCGCGGAGCCUGAAAGUCUGUUUUCUGUGACAGUGGGUGGCCUGGGGGUGGUGAGAGGAACCGAGAUCACCCCCUUUUGUCGGGAAAACGAUUUGGGAAUCAGAACAAAACUGAAGUCAGCACGGCCGGCGGGCCCUUCCCGCGGGGGUCGGGGCGGCGAGGCCAGCCCCCGGGGGCGACAGGCGCACACGCGCCGCCGCGUCCCAAGCAGCAGGGUCGCGGUCGGGCCGUGGAGGACGCAGCUCCCCCCACGGGCCAGCCGCGUUGGUCCCGGGAAGUCGGCGUGCCUCCCGCGAGCCGCACGUGCUUCUCGGAGGCCAGACACGAAGCGCGCGCGGCCCGUCCCGCGGGAGCGGCUCCUCAUCCCCGGCCCCGGCCGGCGAGCGCCCGGACCCGCCGCCGCACCGGGCACCGCUCGUCAGCACGCAGCCGCUCGCGGCCCCUCGGACCCGUCCCACUCCGCAAGGCCGGCAGCGCCGUCUCUCGUUCCCGACCGCACGACCGCCAGUGCCCGGUCGCCCCGGCCAGCUCGGCGGGAACUGCCGGGUCUACGACGUGUCCAAGCAGCCCGCUCGCGGUGCGCGGACGUCCGCCCCUCCUCCGGGCCUGCCAGCCGGGGCAGCCGCGCUCCGGGCGCCCCCUCCCUGGCCCAGCCCCUCGGCAGGCGGGCGCCCGCGCGGACCGGGCUCACGUCCGGCCUGACCCCGCCGCCAGGGAGCCCGGGCACGGCCCGCCCCUCCGCGCCCGGUCCCCGGCCUCCGCCCCGCCCCGGGCUCUGCCGUCGGGCCCCGUCCGCACGCCCAGCGCGCGGCUCCUCAGGGUCACCCUGGAGGUGA
rnacentral:lncRNA from 1 species